rnacentral:misc_RNA from 1 species
UACAGAGGUCUCAAGCGUUGUUCGGAAUUACUGGGCGUAAAGCGUGCGUAGGCGGCGAGGUAAGUCAGAUGUGAAAUCCCGGAGCUCAACUCCGGAACUGCAUCCGAUACUGCCCCGCUCGAGAACUGGAGGGGAGUCUGGAAUUCACGGUGUAGCAGUGAAAUGCGUAGAUAUCGUGAGGAACACUAGUGGCGAAGGCGAGACUCUGGACAGCUUCUGACGCUGAGGCACGAAGGCCAGGGGAGCGAAGGGG